UAGCGAAGGGGGCUAGCGUUGCUCGGAAUCACUGGGCGUAAAGGGCGCGUAGGCGGCCAAGUAAGUUGGGGGUGAAAGCCCGUGGCUCAACCACGGAAUUGCCUUCGAUACUGCUUGGCUUGAGACCGGAAGAGGUGAGUGGAACUGCGAGUGUAGAGGUGAAAUUCGUAGAUAUUCGCAAGAACACCAGUGGCGAAGGCGGCUCACUGGUCCGGAUCUGACGCUGAGGCGCGAAAGCGUGGGGAGCAAACAGG
rnacentral:rRNA from 1 species